rnacentral:rRNA from 1 species
AUUGAACGCUGGCGGCAGGCCUAACACAUGCAAGUCGAGCGAGCGGCGGACGGGUGAGUAAUGUCUGGGAAACUGCCUGAUGGAGGGGGAUAACUACUGGAAACGGUAGCUAAUACCGCAUACCAUCAGAUGUGCCCAGAUGGGAUUAGCUAGUAGGUGGGGGAACGGCUCACCUAGGCGCCGAUCCCUCGAGGGUCUGCUAGGCUGAUCAGCCACACUGGAACUGAUACACGUUCCAGACUCCUACGGGAGGUAGCAGUGGGGAAUAUUGCACAAUGGGCGCAAGCCUGAUGCAGCCAUGCCGCGUGUGGGAAGAAGGCCUUCGGGUUGUAAAGCACUUUCAGCGGGGAGGCGUUACCCGCAGAAGAAGCACCGGCUAACUCCGUGCCAGCAGCCGCGGUAAUUC